CCACUCGACAAUGAUGAGAUGAUCACCUACAUCAUGAAUGGCCUUGACCACGACUUCAAUCCGAUUGUCUCCGCCUUGAUAACUAGGGUUGAGCCGAUUUCGGUAGCUGAGUUGUAUUCCAAUUGCUCAGCUUUGAAA
rnacentral:snoRNA from 1 species